CCUACGGGUGGCAGCAGUGGGGGAUAUUGCACAAUGGGGGAAACCCUGAUGCAGCGACGCCGCGUGAGUGAAGAAGUAUUUCGUUAUGUAAAGCUCUAUCAGCAGGGAAGAAAAUGACAGUACCUGAGCAAGAAGCCCCGGCUAACUACGUGCCAGCAGCCGCGGUAAUACGUAGGGGGCAAGCGUUAUCCGGAUUUACUGGGUGUAAAGGGAGCGUAGACGGUAAUGUAAGUCUGGAGUGAAAGCCCGGGGCUCAACCCCCGGACUGCUUUGGAAACUGUACAACUGGAGUACAGGAGGGGUAGGCGGAAUUCCUGGUGUAGCGGUGAAAUGCGUAGAUAUUAGGAGGAACACCAGCGGCGAAGGCGGCCUGCUGGACUGUAACUGACGUUGAGGCUCGAAAGCGUGGGGAGCAAACAGGAUUAGAUACCCGUGUAGUC
rnacentral:rRNA from 1 species